GACGAACGCUGGCGGCGUGCUUAACACAUGCAAGUCGAGCGGUAAGGCCCCUUCGGGGGUACACGAGCGGCGAACGGGUGAGUAACACGUGAGCAAUCUGCCCUUCACUUUGGGAUAACUCUGGGAAACGAGAGCUAAUACCGAAUACGACCACUUCAGGCAUCUGAUGGUGGUGGAAAGUUCCGGCGGUGAAGGAUGAGCUCGCGGCCUAUCAGCUAGUUGGUGGGGUAACGGCCUACCAAGGCGACGAUCAGUAGCCGACCUGAGAGGGUGAUCGGCCACAUUGGAACUGAGACACGGUCCAAACUCCUACGGGAGGCAGCAGUGGGGAAUAUUGGGCAAUGGAGGAAACUCUGACCCAGCAACGCCGCGUGAAGGAAGAAGGUUUUCGGAUCGUAAACUUCUAUCCUUGGUGAAAAUAAAAGAUGGUAGCCAAGAAGGAAGCCCCGGCUAACUACGUG
rnacentral:rRNA from 1 species